rnacentral:lncRNA from 1 species
GGCACCCCUCAAUCUCUAUGAUAAUUUCUUGUCUCCUCUAGGGGCCAGAGGGGGUCUCCUUAUAUAGUCCUCCCCUUCUAUGCGUUUUUGGGUCGAUAGGCGAGGUGGUACUAUAUUAUUCUAGAUCCAAUAGGUCGGUGGAACGUCGUGUGUGAAGAGAGUCCGGAACGGAGUCCAGAGGGGGGCGGGCGCCCAGGUCCUCAGGGCGGGCGCCCUGGGCCUGGCCCCUUUCGGGCUCCGCCUACUUCCCGUGGCUUCUGGGGUCUUCUAGAUGGUAGAAAAUUGCGCGAUGGGUGGAUAUCUCUAUGUAAUCCCGACAUGUGGGCCUUUCUUCCUUAUUUCCUGAUAACCCCCUGCAGAAAUAGACAAACACCAAAACUCGUAGAAUUUUGUCAGAUAAAACCCUAAGUCUAGAUGUUCAUUUCAUUUGGAUCCUUUUCUUUGUUUAUUUGAUAAUUAAAUUUGAUACUUAAGGACCGUCAACAAACUCCCCCAAGCUUACCUCUUGCUCGUCCCUGAGCAAGGAUGAACUCAAUAGUUUCUGCAGUGGUUUCAUUUCUUAGAAGUACACACGCAUUUAAGCAAGAUCUCAUCUCUGAGUUAGAAUAAACUGUUAAGACUUAAAACUUACUUACUUUACCUACACCAUAGGACUUGUAACCGUCACUUCUGUCUUGAGUGGUUAAAAGAUAGAACAGUCUAGCCAAGUGUCAUGUCUCUUAUUCUUGAUCAGCUAUAGCUCUGGGGUUUUUGCAGAUUUUCAAAUAAAACUCAGAAAUUCCUUGUAUGACUCUCUUAGAUCUCUCUUUUGUGGUAUUUCUGGAUCCUUACCAAGGCAGUAAUGGUAUAUGCCUUCUCUCAAAGUAUGUGGUAUUUUUGGUAUGAGGCGUAGUGAUAUUGCCUUCUCUCUCACCCUACUCUAAUAAGGUUCUGAUAUCUGGAGCUCAUAGGUGGGAGACAGCUAAUACAUACUUACAAGACAUUUAUUGCAUAGUCAAACCAUGGAUCCAGAGAAACAAGUCAAUAAGUCAAAUCAAGAUGUGCAUGUGUGGCGAAUGAAUGGUGUAUGGUGAUGAUGAUGAUAAUAAUGGUGAAAGUCUAAUUCUACUUUUGCUCUUUUGAGGGGAUACAUACCUUUCUUGCACUUUGAACCUUUUUGGGGAGAAUAAGAUGCUCUAUAUUUUCUUUUUCUUUCCUCUCAGGUGGGUAUCUUGUACCCCUAAUUCUACUGUCGGACACUUGUCCAUUUUUAUCUCUCGUCUCACUUUUUCUUUUCUUUCGAGGUUCCGGGCACUUGCCCCUUUUUAUUUCCUCGUAUAUAUAUUUUUUUCUCUUUUUUUUCUCUCUUCUUUUUUUUAGAGCACUCAUCUCCUGAAAUAAUGUAGCAAGUGGUAGUAACCAAAAUAACUGGAGCAUUUAUUUCAUAGGGAAUAACAGGGAUAGGAAAAUGUUUUUGGCUAUUCUCUCCCGGAUUAGGAGUAGAAUAAUUUUGGGUAAAACUAGAGAUAGAAAUGAGUGGAUAUAUGUGGAUGGUACUUCCGGAGUAGAAGUAGCAUGUAUGAGUAAUCGUGCAAGUGAAUCUUGAUUUUAACCACAUGACAAGCUCCUAAGGGUCUACACAGCUUGACCACAUGUUGAUAUUUGGGAACGCAAUAAGGAAUUGAUCCGCAAGCGCACGGAUAUCGGUGAGCAUUUCACCCGGGAGGUUUUCCAGAGUAUCGUAUUUAUAUUUUUACCACUGGGAGAAAGGGUGCAUCUGACUAACCAAAUCUAUUGCUACUAUCCCUUUAGGCACAAAGAAUGUCUUUCGAUGUGAGUGAUAAAUAGAGAAGACUGCAACCGUAGUCUCCUUCUAACCUUGGUAAGGAUGAUCUACUGUUCUAAUGGGGAGGCUAACGGAAUCUAGACACCACAAAGGAUGUUCAACCCGCACCUAUAAACCCUAUCCUUCCUGCUAACGAGAUGUGAUCUACAAAGGUAGCUCGGAAUUGUCACGUUCCUCACUACUACCACGGUCCAGCUAGUCAGGGAAUAUCUAUGAGUACCCCAGCCUAAACAUCACGUUUACGCCAGCAAUGAUUACUCUAAACUCUACGCGAAGAGAUUAAAGUAAACUCAUAAACCAUAAGAACAAUAAAACAAGAACUUACUAGAAUUUAGAAGUCGAAUUACUGAAUAAUCCUAGGAGCAAGCUUCGGGUUAGGAGAACUUGAUCCCGCAGGUACAAGCUUGGAGUAGACACCGACAGGCCGGGCUUCCUCCACUCUACACCUCCACUCUAUCUCUCUCAAUCUAGUAGAAACUAGAAGAUCUAUUUCUACCUUACAUUGAUUGCUAAGCCUAAAAAGAAAUAUUAAUUAGAGAAGAGGUUUUCCUUCGAGGGCACCCCUCAGUCUCUAUGAUAAUUUCUUCAUGUCUUCUCCAGGGGCCAGGGGGGCCUUGCUUAUAUAGUCCUCCCCUUCUAUGCGUUUUUGGGUCGAUAGGCGAGGUGCUACUAUGUUUUUCUUGAUCCAAUAGGUCGGUGGAAUAUCCCGAGCGAAGGAGUCCUGAAUUGACUCCAGCAGGGGGGCGGGCGCCCAGGCUACCAGGGCGGGCGCCCUGGGCCUGGCCCAGCUUCGCCUCCGCUUCGGUCUCGUGGCUUCUGGAGUCUUCUAGAUGAUGUAAAAUUACGCGGUGCGUUGAUAUCUCUAUGUAAUCCCGACAUGUGGGCCUUUCUUCCUUAUUUCCUGGUAACCCCCUGCAGAAAUAGAUAAACAACAAAACUCGUGGAAUUCUGUCAGAUCAAACCCUAAUUCUAGGUGAUGGUUGCAUAUUGGUCCUUUCUCAUGUUUAUUUGAUAAUUAAAAUUGAUACUUAAGAACCAUCAACAAAUACCCCCAUACUUAGGCUUUUACUCGUCCUCGAGAAAAGGAUGGUUAAGAAUAAUAUCUGGGGUAAACAUUUAAAACAUUCUCUUUAUAAUUGCAGGGUGUUAAAAAUUCCACUGUGUACCAUAGUCAGGGAUGUGUAUGGUUAAGUGUAAAGAUUCUUUCUUUUCAAUCCUGUCACUUGGAGUUUUUGUAUAUUUUUGAAAGAAAGUUAGCAUACCUUUUUGAUCCUCAUAGGUUCUCUCAGAUCACUCAUUAUCUUUUAUAUAUAUAUCUCACUAAGGCUGUCUUAUUUUGCAAAAAUUCUCAAGCAUACUUACUUUGGAUUUAUUGCCUGAUCAAAACGGGAUCCGAGGAGGGAAAUGUCAUACUCUUAGAUCAAAGACUUUGGAAAUUAAAAACUUUGUCAACUCUUGCUGGCAUAUUGCUUAUUAGAGGGACCAUGGGCUAUCAUUUUUUUUUCUCUUUUUUUUUAAGUGGAUACCGAGGUACCCCUAAUUCUACUGCCGGACACUUGUCCAUUUUUUCUGCGAGGUUGUCGAGCACUUGCUCCUUUUUAUUUCCUCGAAAUAUCUUCUAUUUUUGCAUAGCCCAUGCCUCUAAUGCAAUAAUACUUUGGAAGAGUGAAUCUUACUGAAAUAAUGUCUUGAUCUUAGGAGCAUGAUAAAUCUCUCAACAAUGGUCUAACUCAUUUUGAACAAACUCAAUACAGAGCAGAUAGCUUUUAUAAUCAUAUUUAAUAUUUCAGUUUUAUCAGGCAUAUAAAACACUGAGGUUGGUAGCUAGGAAUUUGAACAUUUUGAAAUAAAUUCUCCAAGCAACAAUGAUAUCAAGAAUAAGAAACUCAUACUCUACCAUCACAUAUUCCAUCUUGACUUAAGUAACACAGGGUUUUAAAAAAUGAUUUUAUACUAAUUGCAAGUUUUCAGGAAAUAUCAUAGAUUGAGAUUAAUCAUGAUUAGAAAUAUUUUAAUCUUUUUAUUUUAUCAUGUCGGGAACAAUAUUCUGCAUAAUCUAAAAUAUAUAUGUGUAGAGUAAAGUGUGCAGAGUGUGUACCUGAAUCGUGGAGUGGUGUAGUCGGAGUGUGUUUAGCAUGUCGAGGGAUCUCCCCCAUACUUGUUUUCUGCUUUCUUGCACAAAAAUAAAGUAGAGACACAUAAGACAUAAUAAUAAUACUCUUUAUUGAUCUUGAGGCAUUUAUUACACAAGGAAGAACAAAAUUAUUUUUGGCUAUUCUCUCCCGGAUUAGGAGUAGAAUAUUUUUGGGUGAUUCUGAAGAUGGAAAUGUAUGGAUAUAUGUGGAUGGUACUUCCGGAGUAGAAGUAGCAUGUGUGAGUGAACGUGCAAGUCAAUCUUGAUUUAACCACAUGACAAGCUCCUAAGGGUCUACACAGCUUGACCACACUCAAUGCUCAUAAGCAGUAAAAAGUAAAUGUGUGGCUCGAAGUCUAGCAAGCAUGUAUAUAUGGCUGUGGUAGGAAUUUAAACUCUCAUCAUACAGGAACUCAUCAUGCAACAUUUUAAAGAUUUUCAAAGAUAAAAUUCUCCAGACUUCUAGCAUCUCUAGAAACAGAUAAACAGCAGCUCAACCUUCCCAUAUCAUAUCCGUUAACAACUUAGAUUUCAGAUCAAGUUUUCAUCCCAUAAGUUUAGAUCUAGAGCAAGCUUUAAAUUAUAACAGUUAUGUCUAAACUUGAGAGGAAACUUCAAAUAUGCAAAUUAGGCAGAGCAACUAUUCAUCAUUUCCAUGCUUGAGUUUUAUUUAGAUACAGAUUAGCAUAGCCACUUUAUUUAUUUAUUAAACACACUAAGCAAAAGACAUAUAUAUAUAAGCAUAAAAUCUUUAUUUGGUUUUUCAUAGUUAUGUAUAUUUAUAUUCUAAAAUAAUAUAAGUAUAAAGAUAGAUAGAAAUACUUAUCGAGAUAAAUGGGGGUGCUCUCCCCCAAGCUGAAUUUUGACGUAAUUUCUCUUGAUGUAGCUAGCAGGUGGCAGAGGUGUAUUUGAAAGUCAGCAGCAUUGUGACAGCGAUUAGAAUAUCCUCUGUCUGCCAGUCUUCUUGAUUCUUAGAUUCUGUGGAGCUCAAAUAGACAACAAAGCUUGUGGAACUAAUUAAGUGUUAGCAUAAAUAUCUAGCCUUUAUCAUGUUGAGACUCCUUAAUAAUUAUUACUCCCUGUUUUUAUAUUUUUAUUUUAUAAAGCAGAAAAAUAUUUUUGUUUUAUUUUUAUGCCACCACAGUGAAUGUACUUAUGGGUUUUAUGCCACUCGUAUCCUCACAUGGGGCUUACUGUUUUUCACAUUUUUACUUUCUGUUUAGAACUUAAUUAACUAAGUGAACUACUUGAAAUAAUUGAAAGGGAAAGGAUAACUACCAAGUUUACCUCUUGGCAAGGCGUUCGGUGUUUUUAAGUCCUCCGAACGGGACUCUCCUCCUUCUCAAUUAUCCUGAGGUUUGUUGGGUGGCAUAGUCGGUACUUCCGGCAGCGCCUCCUCUUCAUGUAUAGUUAUCUUCCUUUUCCACACCUGACUUGGUGCUUCGUUCUCCUCUGGAUAAUUCUGUUUAAACUCAACGUCUUCUGACCUUACAACUUUUCCUUCGUAGUCUGCCCAUCCGUCCUUGAUGAUUUGCCUCCUCUGGUUGCGGUUGCGUCGUCUUCUUCUUGUCCUGACCUGCUUAGAAUCUUCAACUAUAUAGUUAGAAUCAUUAAAGUAAUGUCGUACCUUCUCAGAGGGGAAAUACACAUGGACUUCUCCGGUUCCAAUGUAGAUGAUAACUUGGAUAGUGUUGAGGAAUGGUCUUCCAAGGAUGAUGGGUGGAUCGUACUCGUCUUCUCCCAUAUAAAUAUUCUGAAAAUCAUCUGGAGCUAAAUAUAUAUUGGUUGUAGGGGCAUGGUUCCAUGCAGGAGCUGAUAAGUGACUGCGGCCAUUAUGUUGACGUUAGAUCCGAUGUCGUAGAGUGUUUUCUAAAAAGAGUAUCUAUUGGUUGUGCACUCGAUGAUUGGAACACCAGGGUCGUCCUUCUUGAUCAAGAAAGGUGACUUGAGUCGACGAUCUUGACCUCCUUGAGCUGCAGUGACCAUCUUAGCUGACUCGGUCCACAUUUGCUUGUUCCUGUUCCUCCUGUUGGUCCUCUUCCUUGGUUCAUGUCUGGAUUGCUCUGAAGUUUAUGUAGUCUUGUUCUUGAAGGGAAGUCUCCUUCUUCCCCUUGAUGUAGAGACUGAUCUUGGCAGCAUUAGCAUAGAUGACAGCUCUGGUGUUUAGGAAUGGCCUCCCUAAGAUGAUGGGUGCCCUCUCCUCAGUACCAGUCUCUACCACCACGAAGUUUGCUGGAGCGUACAAGGUACCAACUUGGACACAGAGGUUCUUUAAUAUUUCCUUUGGGAAACUAAGUGUCUGAUCUCCAUUGUGUUUGUGCUCGUAGAUCCCGGUUUUUCACUUAAUGGAAUCUGGGAGUUGUAAAACGCCUUCACGUUUCUCAAAAUGUGUCCUGCUCAUAGAGACAAGGCAGAGAUCAAGUGCAUGGGCUUUGUUGGUGGAAAACACCAACAGAACCAAAAGUGUAUUUAACCUUAAGCAUAGUGAGCAAGACAAAGUUGAUGGAUCAUGAGUGUAGCAUUUAAAACAUUUGUUAGAUCAGAUGGCUCAACCUAAUGGAAAGAUAAUCUAUCUAUAUUUAUGUUUUGUUUUUAUCUUCCAAAGAUUGAAUGUGCAACAUAUUAUCUUAUAUGUUUAGGAGCGUGGGAUUACGAAGGUAGUACUAAGAACAAAGAUUAAGGGACUAAACAUGUUGAAUCAGUUAGGUUGGUUAAUUUAGAGUUAUAAAUCAUACAUGUUUGUCUCUUUAUGUGAACGCCAGAACCAAGGAGAAACUUAUAAAAGGAUAGUCAAGUACCUUAAGAUGUUACCUUUGAAGAGUGAUGGUACAGUAUCACCUUGUAGAAGCUUUCCUUUCUAGCGGUUGUGCAUCGUGUUUGUGGCUCCCUCCAUGGAUCAUCUCUUAUGAGCUACGUCUUUCUUGUGCAAAUUGUUAAACUUCAUGUGUCACUUUCUUUAUCUCCAAUGUGAGUUUAUCUCAGAACUUCCCAGGUUGAUAUUGAAAGUUUUCCUGCAGGGGUUAGUCCCACAAAAUAUACCAAUGUCUACACAAGCAAUUUUUAGUUCGAUAACCGAACUAGACUCCAUGUCUAAUCAGAUUAAGGAAGGCUGUUUAACCUAAGCACCAUGCUUAAUUUAAAAGCCAAUAGAAAUAUGUGCAGUACUUCCAAACUAACACUUACUAGGAUAAACAAAGGUAGCGUGAUGGCAUUUAUAGAGAUCUACUUAAGUGGAGAUGAAGUAGUGUGAUUAGUAUUUAACAAAUUGAGCAUGUCUCAAAGGUAAGGACAACCAACAUAGCAACAUGGCAAAGGAUGUGUUAUGUGAAGUACUCCCUAAGCUUGAAUUUUGCAAAAUUCAAGAUUGGAUGAAUUUAAUUCAAUGUUGCAUGUUGAUUGGUUGGGCAUACCUUGCGCUUGUCAUUCAUCCAGUCUUCUUGCUCCAAUCCUAGAAAGGUUAGUGACAAGAAUACCCGAAGGAAUAUUUCUACAAUUAUCUUAUAUGCUCAAUACACAAGGUAAUGUUGCAAGUAAUUAAAAGUUCAUGUUACAAUCUGAUAAGUGCUUGUUUUAGGAGACUAAGCUUGUCCUUGGGAAACCAUCAAUUAACUCGACGAGAUCUGCAAUAUUUAUUAUAAACAUAUGCAUCGACAACCGCUCUUUUAAAGUUUUUAUAAAUAGAAAAGAAGAGAGGGUUGGAGAUCUCAAAUGUGGUGAUAGCACAUGAAUUUUUAAUGCCCUCUAGCCAUUGAUGUUGCUCUCCUCGAUCCUCUUUCUUAUGCAUGGGAUGUCUAGAGAGAUUCAUAGGAUUAUCGGGAGGUUCAAGAUAAAGAUCAUAGUAGAGAUUAUUAGGCUCAAGGAUGGGUUGGAUAGCCGAAUCAUGGGAUUGGAAAGUUUAGAAAUCGGCUAUUGAAACUUCCUCUCCUUGUAUGGGAGAUGAUUCCUUCUCUAUCUCUAUGAUUUUUCUAUGAAGACUAGUACAAGAAGGAUGUCCACGAAUGAAGACAUACCUUCCGUAACUAACAGAUAAAGAAAGAAGGACUCUACCAAAGGUUAUAUGACUAAGACCAAUGUGAAAAUAUAUAGGAAAAACAUGGUCUUGCAAGGCUAGGUCUAAACCAGAAUUUAUAGAAAGAUUAACAGAUUCCCUAGGUGUAGCUAAAAGUGCAUUAUCUUCUUGAUUAAAAGAUAGGACCUCGGCUAUAGAAAAGGGUUGGUUUUGACGUAUUGCAAUCAACUCCGGACACAGAUCAUAAUUAGGGGCAGGACGUGUUGACUCCCAUGGUCUAUGGCUGGUCUCCGAAGGUGCAAAGAAUUUAAUAAUAGUUAUGGAAUUUAAGAUAUCCAUAAAGAUAAAAAGAUAAAAGAAUAAAAGUAUAAAAGUAUAAUACAAGAUAAUAGCAAGACUCAAAGUUAUCUCAGCAAACCGUCUUUCUCCCCGGCAACGGCGCCAGAAAUGCUUGUUGAUAUUUGGGAACGCAAUAAGGAAUUGAUCCGCAAGCGCACGGAUAUCGGUGAGCAUUUCACCCGAGAGGUUUUCCAGAGUAUCGUAUUUAUAUUUUUACCACUGGGAGAAAGGGUGCAUCUGAACUAACCAAAUCUACUGCUACUAUCCCUUUAGGCACAAAGAAUGUCUUUCGAUGUGAGUGAUAAAU